rnacentral:rRNA from 1 species
CCUACGGGAGGCAGCAGUGAGGAAUAUUGGUCAAUGGGCGCGAGCCUGAACCAGCCAAGCCGCGUGAGGGAAGACGGUCCUAAGGAUUGUAAACCUCUUUUGUCGGGGAGCAAAAGCCGCCACGCGUCGCGUUCCGAGAGUACCCGAAGAAAAAGCAUCGGCUAACUCCGUGCCAGCAGCCGCGGUAAUACGGAGGAUGCGAGCGUUAUCCGGAUUUAUUGGGUUUAAAGGGUGCGCAGGCGGAAGAUCAAGUCAGCGGUAAAAUUGAGAGGCUCAACCUCGUCGGGCCGUUGAAACUGGGUGUCUUGAGUGGGCGAGAGGUAUGCGGAAUGCGGGGUGUAGCGGUGAAAUGCAUAGAUAUCACGCAGAACUCCGAUUGCGAAGGCAGCAUACCGGCGCUCAACUGACGCUGAGGCACGAAAGUGUGGGUAUCGAACAGGAUUAGAUACCCGGGUAGUC